GGGGGCCGCCCGCCUGCCGGGGAGGGGCAGCGCGGACGGGCGAGCGCCGCGUGCGGGAGAGCGAAGGCUGCAGCGCGCCCGGCAGCCGGGAUGCAGCGGCGCCGCCCAAGCCUGGGGCGCAGGGGUCGGGGCACACGGGGAUAGGCCCGACGCGGGGCCGAAGGAAGGGUGGUCUUUCCCGCAGAGUUGCCGCUGGAGGACCGAAAGUUUUGCAGGCAGCCCUUGCUUCCAGCUUGUCACUCUCUCCCCGCGUCCCUGUCGCCCAACGCGAGGCGCCCCGGUUGGGGUCCCGACGGCUUGGUGGGGAGGAGCCGUGAGGGGUUGCGCCCCCCACCCCCACCCGAGCCAGGGAAGGGACCCUGGUGACCUCGCCUCCCAGCCCUCACCCCCGUCACCCCUUUCUUCUCUUUCCCGGAGGACUUUGGACCAUGGAGAUUCUGCAGUUGUUGCUCUGGGAGCUGAAACCAGUGGGUAGAUGUCGUUCUGAAACGCAGUUCUUCUUUUUGUAAAGGUGUGUCCUGAGGAACCUCAGAUUUGAAAGAAGAGUGAAUGGAAGUCAAAUGUGGAAACCACUCAAAUGUCCAUCAACUGAUGAAUGAAUAAACAAAUCGUGGUAUAUCCAUACAAGGAAUAUUAUUCACCCAUAAAAAGGAAUGAAGUCUUAAUACACCUACAACUGGAUGAACAUUGAAAACAUUAUGCUAUCCAUUCUGCUUCAGACCGGAAAGGAGAAACAGUCUUAUCUGCAUAAAAGUCCUGGUACUGCUGUAUCUCAUACUAUAAGUUCAGUUUUCUCCCUUCACCUGAGGAUUGUGAGAUCCAUGAGAGCCCAGAAAAUAUCUUAGGAUCCCUAGAGCUUGGCAUAUGGAGGGACAUGGAUGAAGCUGGAAACCAUCAUUCUCAGCAAACUAUCGCAAGGACAAAAAACCAAACACUGCAUGUUCUCACUCAUAGGUGGGAAUUGAGCAAUGAGAACACAUGGACACAGGAAGGGGAACAUCACACCCCGGGGCCUGUUGUGGGUUGAGGGGAGGGAGGAGGGAUAGCAUUAGGAGAUAUACCUAAUGUUAAAUGACGAGUUAAUGGGUGCAGCACACCAACAUGGCACAUGUAUAUAUAUGUAACAAACCUGCACGUUGUGCACAUGUACCGUAAAACUUAAAAUAUAGUAAAAAGAAAAAAAAAAGAAUGGAAUGCCUGAUUCUGCAUCCCUGUAGAUGGGAUCAACAGGAUCAAAACAUGACCUUGAUGGCCAAGCCAAGUUCUCUUUUUCCCAAAGGGUUUAAAUCUGCCCUAUUUAAUAUGGUAGCCAGUAGCCAUAUGUAUUUAUAUUAAAUUUAAAUUAAUCAAAAUUUAAAAAUUAGUUACUUAGUCACACUAGCUACAUUUUACAUGCUCAGUAGCCACAUAAAGCCAGUGGCUGCUGUAUUGAACAGUGCUGAUUAUGGAAUAUUUCCAUCACUGCAAAAGGUUCUGUUGGACAGCAGUAAUCCAGAUCUCCUUUGUAGAAGAAUUGGCACCUGGGGCUGCCUGAUCUUCAAGGGGCACAUCACAGAGCAUGGUGUUGACCCAUCUGGAUACCAUGUUUGAAGUUGACAUGGCCCAGAAAUUUGACUUCCACCAGUUAAAAAUGUACUUCGACAGUUUUGUAUUUAACCUGUAAAUCCAGAAGCAUGUCAGGGCCUUCUGGAUGGAGCACUGUGAAAUUAGCAUACACUUCAAACCCUCUUCCCUAAAAGAUCAUGCACUACUGUGCUGUACAUGGUAGACCUAUCUCAUAGUGUAGGCUUCAGCAAAUACUCUUUGACAAAUAAUUGGUUCUGUGCUGAUGAUAAGCCUAAUAGGUGAAAGAUGGUCUUUCCCUUAAAAAAUUGAGAUAUAUGAUACCAGUCUCAUAAACUCUAAUUCACAAGCCCUGGCAUUAUGAGAGGCACUUAAAGUAUGAAUGGUGUUAAGAUUAUCCUUUAAUUUUGCAGUAGGCAAAUGACCUCCCAAAGAUAUUCACUUCCUAAUCCCCAGAAUUUGGGAAUACAUUACCUUACAUGACAAAGGGGAUUUGCAGAUGUGAAUAAGUGAAGGAUUUUGAGAUGGGGAGACUAUCCUGGAUAAUCCCAGUGGGACUCAUGUAAUCACACAAGUUCUUAAAAGUGGAGAACUUUUCCCUGCUGUGGUCACAGAGAAAAACGCAACCAAUGUAAGAACGGUCAGAGAGAUUCAACAUUGUUGGCUUUGAAGAUAGAGGAAGAGACCACAAGCCGAAGAAUGCAGGCAGGCUCUAGAAGCUGGGAAAGAGAAGGAAACGUAUUCUCUGCAGAGCUAGCAAAAUGAAUACAUCCCUGUCUACACCUUGAUUUUAACCUGGUGAGACCUGUAUUGGGCUUCUGACCUACAGAACUCUAAGAUAAUAACUAUAUGUUGUUGAACAUGCUAAGUUUGUGGGAAUUGUAACAAUAGCAAUAGGAAAUGAAUACACCUUUUAUACAGUGGAGGAUGACUAAAUAAUUUAUUUUGAAAAUACAACUGUCACAAGGAUGAAAUAUUCAUGAUCACAAAUUGGUGCAUUCUUAACUGUGGAUAAUUAUGUAUGAAGCCAAAUUGUAAUAAAACUGUUAUUUGCCAAACAUAGAAACCUUGCUUCGUGACUAGGCUGAGCCCAGAGUGUUAUUCUCUUCUUCUGCCUGUUAUGUAUCUGGGCAAUUGUAGGGCCUUUGCAGGUGAAUCCGGUAGAGAACAUGCUAAGAAUGAGCAGCAGUCAUGCAUGACUGUAUCAUUGAAAGCCUUCUAGCCAUUUUACAGCUUCACCUCCGUGGUUUUAUUUUUUCAGAGGGGACUGAAGGAGAUGAAUGGAUAAUAAACUAUGGCUAAAAACUUGGUCUGGAUGAACUCUUUGAUGCGGGGCGGCAGGGGGGCGGGGGUGAUGGGUGCGUACCAUGGGAUCAGUAGCCCUGCACCAGCUCAGAGGUAUAAUUGUGAGGCUGGUGGAAAUGCUCAUCAGGGAGAAGGAAAUCAGGAUCACAGCUUCUGAGGACUGAACAUGCUCUCAAAUAUAGAAUCAUUAAUGGCCUUGGCAUUCAUGGUGUUAGCCUUGACUCAAAUGAGAAUGCCUCGACCCUUCCCAGGUUCUCCGAGGCCCCUAAGUAGACUGUCGCUAGGACUUGGGGACAUGGAGCUCAGUUAAUGGCCUCUUAUUUUUACUAUGCCAUAGCACCCACCUGAUUUCUGGAAGGCAUUGCUUCACUUUCAUAGACAGAAGAUGUAACGACUGCCACGAAGAUCCCUGGAGCUCUGCCUGGCGAUUCUCACUCCCACUGGGUAGCUGACAAAUUUUCCCUGAGAAGACAUGGUUUCCUCCAGCAGCAGCAGAAGGAGUCAUGGGUUUUUCUGUUUCAUGGCUCAAACUGUUGUGACUCGGAAUUAUACUAGGACAGGGCCCUGACUUAUUCUUCUGGGCUGGGCUGAGUAAGGCCUGGCUGAGUGUAGCUGGGUACACAGGUAGGGGUGGAAUCAAAGCUGGAGGUACCCAUAAUGCUGGUUAGGAGGAUAACUAGCUAGAAUAAGGUUGGCAAGAACUGGGUGAGCAGGGAUAGGAAUUAAGACUGAGGACUGGGCUGAGGGUAGGUCAGGGGUUCUGGCAGCAACACAGCUGGAAUGAAUGGAGAAGCACACAAACAAAACCAAGCUAAGAAGAGCCUAGAUCAAGCUUGUCCAACCCAUGGCCCACAGGCUCCAUGUGGCCCAGGAUGGCUUUGAAUGUGGCCCAGCACAAAUUUGUAAACUUUCUUAAAACAUUAUGAGAUUUUUUGGUGAUUUUUUUAGCUCAUAACUAUUGUUAUCAUCCCAGAAGGUGUUCAAUUUACCUUGUCUAGAUCCACUAGAGGAAUCACUGUCUAUGACAGCUGUAGCUUUAUGAAAUGUAUUAUAUUUCUUAAAUAGUAAAACUUGAAAGUUGAAAUUAUAUAUUGAUCCAUGGGCUGCAGAAUGAAUGUUGUGUUAGCAAGUAUGAAAACAUCAUUAAUCUCCUUACACAUCUCCAUCAGAGCUCUUACGUAACCAGUGCAUUGUCAAUGAACAGUAAUAUUUUGAAAGGAAUCUUUUUUUCUGAGUAGGUCUCAACAGUGGACUUAAAAUAUUCAGUAAAACCAUGCUGUAAAAAGGUGUGCUGUCAUCUAGGCUUUGUUAUUCCAUUUAUAGAGCACAAAGCAGAUUUAGCCUAAUUCUGAAGAUCCCUAGGAUUUUUUAAAUAGUAAAUGAACAUUGGCGUCAACUUAAAGUCACCAGUUGCCUUAGCCUAUAACAAGAGAGUCAGUCUGUUCUUUGAAGUCUGAAGCCAGGUAUUGACUUCUCCUUUCUAGCUAUACAAGUUCUAGGUGGCAUCUAGAUGGCAUCUUCUCCCAAUAGAAAGCUGUUUUGUCUAAGUUGAAAAUCUGUUGUUUAAUGUAACCACCUUCAUCAAUGAUCUUAGCUAGAUCUUCUGGAUCUUGCACUUUUAUGUGCACAAGGAUGUCUUUUAUGUUAACUAGAUGACUUCUUUCCUUAAACCUCAUGAACCAACCUCUGGUGGCUUUAAACUUCUCUUCUGCAGCUUCCUCACCUCUCUCAGCCUUCAUUGUACUGAAGAGACUUGCUCUGAAUUAGGCUUUGGGCUUAAGAGAAUGUCGUGGCUUGUUUGAUCUUCUAUUUAGACCACUAAAACUUUCUUCAUGUCAACAACAAGGCUGUUUCACUUUCUUGUGAUUUGUGUGGUUACUGGAGUAGCAAUUUUAAUUUCCUUUAAGAACUUUUCUUUUGCAUUUACAACUUGGUUAACAGGAGCAAGAGGCCCUGCUUUUGGCCUGUUUCAGCUUUGGGCAUGCCUUCCUCAACUAAGCUUAGUCAUUUCUAGCUUUUGAUUGAAAGUGAGAGAUGUGUGAUUCUUCCUUCCACUUGAACAGUUAGAGGCCAUUAUAGGGUUAUUAAUUGGCCUAAUUUCAAUAUUUUUGUGUCUCAGGGCAUGGGGAGGCCUGAAGAGAGGAAAGAGAUGGGAAAAUGGCUGGUUUCUGGAGCAGGAAGCACACACAUAUAUUUAUUUAUUAGGUUUGACAUUUUAUAUGGGUGCAGUUUGUGUCACCCCCAAACAAUUACAAUAGUAACAUCAAAGACCACUGAUCACAGAUCACCAUAGCAGAUAUAAUAUUGAAAUAUUGCAAGAAUUACAAAAAUGUGAGCCAGAGACAUGAAGUGAGCACAUGCUGUUGGAAAAAUUGCACUGAUAGAUCUUGCUCAACACAAGGUUGCCACAAACCUUCAUUAAAGAAAAAAUGCAAUAUCUGCAAAGGGAAAUAAAGUGAAGUGCAAUAAAACAAGGUGUAUCUGUAGUUGUGCUGCUGCAAAAAUUAUCUGUGCUCUGUCUAUUCAUCCUUUCCCCCUCCCAAUCCCUGGCAACCACUGAUCUUUUUACUGUCUCCAUCGUUUUGCCUUUUCCAGAAUGCCAUACAGUUGGGAUAAUAAAGACAGUAUGUAGCCUUUCAGAUUGGCUUCUUUCACUUAGUAGUACGCAUUUAAGCUUCUUUCAUGUCUUUUCAUGUCUUUUCAUGGCUUGGCAACUCAUUUCUUGCUAGUACUGAAUGAUACUCUAUUGUCCGGAUGUAUCGCAGUUUUUAAAAUCCGCUUACCAACUCUUAACUUUUAAUCCAGUGAUUUUCAAACUGGGGCCUUUGGAGAUCUGGGCUGAAUGUGUAUUCUUGAGGACUCAAGAGUUUUAGAAUUUGAGAGAUAACUAGCCAAGCAUAUAGUAUGUGCUCAAUAAGUAUAAUCAUUAGUGACAGAAUUACGACUAUUGUAAAAGAAGCUACAAGUGUUGUGAAGCAGGGCUGGGUGGGGCCUGUGUUCACAAGCGUUAUCCCAGAGAGGAGAGGCAUGUCAACGGGAUUUGUAGUCAAUGCUAUUUAUUUGCAGCUGGAGAGGGUUUGAACUUCCUGGACAGCUGCCUGGGGCUGCCCAGGCUUCAAGGGCCACAUUCCUGGGGCAGAUGCUGGACACUGCUGUGGCCUGACAGUUUCUGACAGCCCCAUUUUUAAAACCUGGAACAUUUUCUUAUCUUGAGUUUUCUGGCACUGUUCCCUUGCUCAGUGAUUUUCAGAGAUAACGGUGUGAUUCCUCAAUUACCUCUGAAAGGUCUUCCUGUUGCCUGGGCUGUAAUUCAUGGGGCCUGGAGACCUGAACUCAUUUGGGCUGCUCGGGGCUCCCUAAAUCUCUGUCCAUCCAUCUUUAGCUUCUGUUCUCUCUUAACCAUCUGUGUUCUGCUCCACUAAUAUUGGAGAUUUUGCUUCCAGAUGGCAAGGCUAGAGUAAAAUUGCAGCUGGGCAGUGUCAUCAUCUGUUCCACCAUUUACCCCAGGCCAUCACCUUCCUUUGUUCAUCUUCUUACCUGAAACACAAUUUUACAAGGUCCAUGUUUUGCUGUCUGAGCACUGCACAGGCCUGAGGUCAGAGCUGUGACCAUGACCCAGCCUCUCCUGUACUGUCCUUUGUCUGUGCUCCCCUCUACCUGCAUAGUGAAAUGCUCCCUGCGCUGACACACAGCUCAGGAGUUUAAGUACCUCCUCCCUUGUGUUCAUCUGGAUUAUGCCUUACUGUAUUUCCAGAAUUUCAUUUUUUUAGAGCCCUCUGCUUCUUAAGUCAUAUUUUGUUUUAGGGACGGGGUUCUCAACCCUGGCUGCACAUUAAAAUGAUUGGAGAAAUCAAACCUCUAGGGUAUGGUUUUCCAGUUAAUCAUAAAAAAUCUCUCAUGUUUAUGUUCUCCAUAUAAUCAUAAAAGAAAAAAGUAUUAAAAUGAGCUUCAUCAAAAUUAAACAUUCCUGUUCAUCAAAAGCUACUGUUAAGAAAAAGAAACAAAUCACAGACUGGCAGAAAAUAUUUGCUACACAUAUAUCUGACAAAGGACUUAUAACCAGUAUAGAUUAGCAAUUGCUACAAUUGAGUAAUAAAAAGAAGAAAUUGAUCAAAAAAGCUUGAACAGGCACUUCACAAAGAAAAAUUUGUAAAUGAUCAGUAAACACAUAAAAAGGCAUUUAACACCAGUAGUCAUAAGGGAAAUGUGAAUUAAAACCUACUAACAUGGCUAAAAUUUAAAAAUGACAACACCAAAUGUUGGCAAGGAUGCAGACCAACUGGAACUCUCAUUUGUUUCUGGUAGGAGUAUAAAGUGGUACAACCACUUUGGAUACUGUUCUGGCAGUUUCUCAUAAAGUGAAACAUACACCUACCCAAUGACCAAAAACACUACUUCUAGGUGUCUACCCAAGAUAAAUGAAAAUAGACACAAACUAGUAGACUUAAAAGCUUUAUUAAUAAUAGCCCAAACUGGAAACCAUCCAAAUGUUCCUCAACUAGAAAACUAAUAAACAAAUUGUGGUAUAUCUCUACCAUAAAAUACUGCGCAGUAAUAGAGAAGGAGCAAACUAGUGGUUCCCAUGACAACACAGAUGAACCUGGAAAACAUGAUGCUGAGGGGAAGAGAUCACACACAAAAGGGUACCUACUACAUAAUUCCACUUAUAUAAAGUUCUAGAACAAGUAAACUAAAAUACAGAGAACCAGAGCAGAGGUUGUUUCUAAGACAGGGCAUCUAUGAGUGUCUGGAAACUGCCAGAGAGAACUUUCUGGAAUGUGUCUGAUGUCUUGAUAAUGGUGGGUUGUUACAAGGCAUAGGCAUUUAUCAAAACCCAUUUUCAAAUGAUGUCUUAAGUGUUGUAUAUUUAUUAUCUGUACGUGCAAUUUACAAAUUAUAUAUCAGUAAGGAGAAUGAAAUUUUAAAAACGUUCCCUAGAUGAUUUUGCUACACAGUAAGGGUUGAUUCAAUGCUACGCUGGCUCAGUUCAUAAAAUGUCUCUGUCUUUUCCCUUCAGUUUGAAACCUUCUUUCCUAACAUCCAGGUCCUUUGUCUGCCAGCACCAUAUUUCAGUCUCUUGUAAUUAGGAACCCAAUAACACCAUGAACACUCACCAAUGAUGUCUUUUUUUCAACACACCAACCUUACCUCUCUGUUGGACAAAAUGAAAUCUAAAACACCAGGUCUCCUUUCUGAGCAAGGGAGUUAUCAGUUGGAUAAUGGGAAAAAUGACUGCCAUUCCAGGUGGAUAACUGGAAGAAUCACUUCUUGUAGGAGAACGAAAUGUGUAGUAGCUGCCGAGGAGGUGAUGUCCUUUGGCCCUGCCCUCUUAUCUGUAUGCAGAAAUGGGUGUGUUCAUAUUAUGUUUUGGGAAAGCAUUUUAGAUUCACUUCAUCAGAUGAGCAUCUUUUUGCUCCUAGGCUUACUGAUUUCGAUGUAGUUGAAUAAGUUCUUAUUUAACGUGAAGUUCUAUGUUUCUUUUUGUUAGACGUACUUCUUUUGAAUAAAACAUAGUUUUAAAAAUUACUAUUUCCAUUCUAACUUCUCUCUUGCCAAGACCCAAGGAUAUCUGGGAGAAUUUUUUUUUUUUUUUUUUACCGUGAUGUGUUUAUAUGUUUGGACUACUUAUUACCCAUCUUUGCCAUAUUUUCUUAUCUGUGGAGAUGCUGAGACCUAAUUUAGCUUAUUUUCUGAAAAGCCAGUGUCAAAUACCUGUGAGCAACACAGAAGAAAUAGAUCACCUACUCAGCAGCUUUAACUGUCUAGGACUCAGCUAAUAACUGAAAAGUAAGCCACAAAGAGACCCUGAAGACACAAAAUAGAUGUCAUAAAAUCCACACACUUUCCUCAGAGGCCAGCCCAUCGGAGUCUCACUCACAGUCACUUUCCUCUCACCUGGGACACAGGUGUAACAUCUUCACAGCUUGGUUAGAUGCACCAAGUUAGAAGACAGAACAAAGAUGGCCUUUACAGUCAGGUAUAUUGAUAGCUAUAAAAAGGGACAACUGACAGGAGAGAAGAGAGAAUCCUUUUCAUCUUCACUUUAUCCUAUUAAAACCAAAAUGAGCCUGGGCACGUUAGGUCAUGCCUGUAAUCCCAGUGCUUUGGGAGGCCGAGAAGGGAGGAUUGCUUGAGCCUAGGAGUUCGAGACCAGCCUGGACAACAUGGUGAAAGCCCAUCUCUACAAAAAAUACAAAAAUUUGCCUGGUGUGGUAGCACAUGUGUAUAGUCCCAGCUACGAGGGAGGCUGAGGAGGGAGGAUCACUUGAGCCCAGGAGUUCAAGGCUGCAGUGAGCUAUGAUGGUGCCACUGCACCCCUAGCAUGGGCAACAGAGUGACACCCUGUCUCUAAAAAGAAAAAAAGAAAGAAAAAUAAAUAGAAAGCUCUAGCAGCUAUUUGUUUCUGGAGCACCCAUGUAAAAUCACUCUCAAGGAGCUCUAGAGGCAUGACCACAUUUGAGGUCAAUGCAAAACAGUCAUUGAUGGUAAUGCCUUUAAGCCACCAAGAAAAGGCCGAAUGUUCCAUGCAGUACUCUUUGAAAAAGGCAGAGAAGUGUGUAAUAUGGUUUAGAAAGGUCUCUAUCAAAUUGGGCAGAAAUAAAAGUUUUGACUGUUUAAGUGAGUAAGGUGCAGUAUCUCAAACCUUCACUGUCCUGGCAUAGUGGCCUUGAGGACAGUUCUGGGGUAAUGACAAUUAUGGAGGCAGAACCAGACCCUCUCUGCUAUCUUCCAUAACCAGCCCAUUCCCCCUUUCUGGAUGGGGGAGUGCCCUCCUCUAACUGCAGCCAUUGCUGUGUGGGCCUCAGCUCCAGUCCGCCACUCCUUGAUCAUGCAGCACCUGCUACCCUUCUUCCUUGAAGCCUCUGCCACCUGCCACCCCAUCUCCUCCUUGGACCUCCAAAUCCAACAGACUCUGGUUAUCUCUGGGUGGACUCUUCACUCUCCAAAUCCAUCAGAGGCUCAUCUCUUAAUCCCAUGAAUCUGAAAUAAAAAGUAGCAAUGCGUAAAGAAGUUCUACAGAUGAAAUGUUAAUGACACUUGGAAUAUGUUUUAAAACAAUCCAGCAGGAGUGGGGAUAGGAAAGGUGUAGGCAAAACAAGAUGGCUAUUGACAACUGUCGGGUUUGGGUGAUGGUGUCAUGGGGCACACUGCCUCUCUUUGUGUAUAUUUUUAAACAUGUCCAUUUAAAAAGGAGGUUGGCCACAGUGGCUUACACCUGUCAUCCUAGCACUCUGGGAAGCCAAGGUGGGAGGAUCAUUUGAGGCCAGGAGUUCUUGACCAGCCUGAGCAAUAUAAUGAGAUCCCGUCUCUACAAAAAAAGUUUUUAAAAUUAGCUGAGCAUAGUGGUGGACCCUUGUAGUCCCAGCUACUUGGGAGGCUGAGAAAGAAGGAUCGCUUGAGCCCAGGAGGUCGAGGCUGCAGGGAGCCAUGUUGUGCUACUGCACUCCAGCCUGGGUGAGAGAGUGAGACUCUAUCUUUAAAACAAUGAAAAUUAAAAAUUAAAAAAAUUUAAAAAUUUUUAAAAAGUUACAAGGACGAUAUAGGAUGUCAUAACGCCUAAUCAAUUCUCAUAUCUUCAUGGGUUUCUGGACAGAGAAUGUACCUUCACUUUACCAUUAGCCUAAGAUCACUCAAAACAUCUGGAAGUUAUUAUUUUAAAAAGAAUCUCAGAAGUAUGCCUGCCUCUCACUGUUAAAUAUACGUGAUGGUGCAGAUUAUUCAGAGCAGUGUUAAGGCAUCAACAUAAGUGCAGCCCCAUGGGGUCAGGGACAGAGGUCAAGGUGAAGUGUUUCUUUAGCUUUGAAGACUUCUGGCACCCAGGCUUACACCUACACUUCAGCUCGGCAAUCCGGAUGUCAGGGAAGUGAGAGGCGAAGUUUGAACCCAUGUGAACUGUACAUUUUGGGACUUGAGUAUUCAGGAACUUGGCUCUCUUUGAUGAGAAAUUACUUCCCUCCUCCAUCGGCUCAGCUUUUCUUCUUCCACCUUCCCUUUCCUCCUUCGUCUCUCCCUCCUCUUUCCCCUUCCUCUCUUCUUCCUCUUUCCCUUCCUCUCUUCCUCCUUCCUUUCUUCCUUCCUCCUUUUAAGUCAUCACCACCACCAGCACUACAAAAACCUAUAGCAUGUUCAUGUCAGAACUUCUAAAGAGUUGUUGUAAAGAUUAAGAUACAAGUGGGGAAGAAAGAAAUUUAAAUUCAUUAGAAUAAUUUUGAUCAUCAUAAUUAAAACAAUUUUUCUUUAUUAUGGACACUUUCAAGCAUAUAAACAUCUGACUAAUCCAACGAACCCCUUGUACUAAUCACUCACCUUCAGUAAAGUUGGCCAAUCUCUAUUUCAUCCUUUCAUCUUUUUCCCCAAUCAUGUCCACCCUCCUCCUGACCCCACCUGAGAUUACUUCAAAACAAAUCCAAGGCAUCAUAUUGUUUCAUCUGUAAAUAAUUCAGCAGUAUUUAUAAGAGAUAAUCUCUCUUAUUUUAAACAUAAUCACAAUACUAUCAUAUCUAAAAAAAAAUUUGUUAAUAUUAUAAAAUAUUCAGUCAGUUCUCAAAUUUCCCUGAUUAUCUCCUUUUUAUUCUUGGUUUGUUCAAAUGAGGACCCAAAUAAGACGCACUCAUUGCAUUCUGCUGAAAUAGCUCUUGUUGCUCAUAGUCUGUAGGCUUCCUUGCCCUCCUGUUUUCUUGCCGUUUAUUUAUUGAAGAAACUGAGCUAUUUGUCUUGCAGAAUUUUUACCGUUCUGCAUUUUGCUGAUUGCAUCUUCAUGGUAUCAUUUAACAUGUUCUUGUAAUUCCUGUAAUUACCUAGAAUUCCUGUAAUUACCUGUAAUUCCUAUCAGCUGAUAGUUAUACCUAGAAGCUUGUCAUUAUUAGUAGCAAUAUCAAAAACUUCACUUUUGAGACUGGCAAUUUCUACGUCUGACAUCUUACCACAGUGAACAAGGCAGCAUCCCAAACUCUUCUGAGUCAAUAAGAAAAGGGUAACUCUUGCAGUAAUGCCAAGUUCAGUUUCUGUUCACUUUGCAAAAAAUGUAUGCCCCCUACUAGACCCAUGACUGUCAACUAGAAUGUGCUGGGCCUCCUCUCCUGUCUGUGCAUGGGAAUGGGCACAACCAGGUGGAAAGAACAUGAACUUGGGAGUCAGAGAGCUCUAGAUGUGAAUUCUGACUUCAGGUUUUAUGAAGUACAUAACUUGUCUAGUGAAUUCAUAUCUCCACUUCUCAGAUUCCUUGUAUACAAGGAUAAUGUCUGUCUUACCAGGCUGCCAAGAUGCACCUGACAUGUAGUAUGUGUUCAAUAAUUGUUUCUUUUCCAGCUUAGGUUAAAAAUGGGAAUUUUCAAGAAACCACAAACCCACAGAGUUUGUUUAGAUCCAAACACAGAUAUGGCAUUUACCAGCCUCGUAAACAAUAGAGGAGGCUUUCAGGCAAGCCCCAAGAAAGCAUGUUCAGAAAGGGGAAGGAACGUGGGGACAGGAACUAUUGCUCCCCUUCUCUCUUUGUACUCAGAAAAUCCAGGAAAUUCUUCUUCAAGAAAGCAUGACCCAUUUCAGCCUAAAAGCGUGCUUUUCUCUGGACUGUGCUGGCUUGAGAACAUAUUUCUUUUACCAAAAAAUGAGUUCACAGUAAGUGACUCAGAAGCAUAUGGAUGAAAUUUCCUUUAAGCCACUCAAGGGAUUAGAAAUUAAGGGAAAAAGUGCCUGGCAAAAUGCAUUUGGGGUUUUGCCAAGCCCAAACCAACUGAGAAAUAGUUAAGACACAAGGCAGAUCUCAAAUGCUGCCAAGUUUACCCAUCUUAGCAGGACAGAGAUUUAUAAUUAGAGCUGCUCAGAAAAGCACUGCCUUACGGGUGGCAAAGGACAAAAAAGGCUUUGUCCCCAACAUCUCCACAGGCUGCGGUUUCCCAGAUGGGCCCUUAACAGUGUACACACCCUCUCCAUCGCCAGGGUCCUCAAAGCCACCGCCUCUACCAAGCAAGGUUCGACUUCUACACCACGCCCCUGACAUUCUCUCCAGGCCUCUUUUGUUUCUGGCCCAGGCUGGAUGCAUCACACUGUGAAUUCCUGGAUGAGGAAGAACAAAUCUUGCGGAGUGGUCUGGAAUUACAGAGGAGAGCCAUAAUGGGAAAAUGCGACAAAGCAAUUACCUUCUCUGACAUACACAUUUUACCCCUGUCUCUCACCUUUGUCACGUUUCCCCAUUUUUUCACCUUCUGUGGGUUUCUUUUUCUGUAAAAUGAAGGGAUUGGAUCUGCUGUUUUCAAACUGUGCUACCUGGAGCCACUUGGGGGCCUGGCGGGGCCCAGUGGAAGUGGAUGGGGAGAUGGUGAGAAGGGCUCUCUUCAAAAAAAGCAGGAGGGGGCUCCAACAUAGCAUUUCAAGGAAAUCAAGGGAUCCAAAGUUAAACAAUUUGAAAAUCACAAGUCUGGACGAAGUCUCAUUGUUCUUUCCAACUGAACACUGCCGGUGUGGUGUGCCUCACUUCUCAGUCUCCAUUCACUAACCCAAAUAUCCCCAAAGAUGUGCACCAAUUCUUCUGUCUAGCAUUCAUCAGAGUGCUCCUGUGUGCCAGGCCCUCUGCUAAGCACUGGGCAUACAGCAGUGAACAGAAACCCCAGGGGGCUCAUAGACCAGUUGGGAAGAUUGGCAUUAAACAAAUGAAUAUGUAAAUCCAAAUCAAGAGGUAUGAACACCAUGAAAGACAAAAUCAUGGUUGAAAGUUGAGUGGGCCUGGGGUUGGAGAGAUACUGCCCUAAGCAUCUCCCCUCCCCACCUGGCUUGCCACUUGCCCCUUUAUAGAAUAACUAAUCAUUGUUCAGUCUUUGAUAGCUUCCAUUGAAAAUGUCCCUCUUCUACCUGACAGAGUAGGGUCAAGACACCCAGAGCACAAAGGAGCUGAUGGGUUUAGUUAGCUGUUACUGCGGAAAGCCAAGAGGAUGAGCUUGAGAGAACAGACUGAGGGCUUUAGAUGGGUGAGUGUGAGAAAGUCUACAGUGCUUGCUGUGCUGAGGAAAAAAUCCAGGUGGAUCACCUGGAGGUGACCCAAAGUGCCAAUGAAGUCCAUGUCAAUGGCCCUCUUCACAUACUUCACUACUGUCUCUGGAGCUCUCCUGAACAUCUUUCUCCCAUUCCUCACUGAGUUUUGCUAGACAUGGCAAAUGUUAACUCAUUACCAACUCUUAAUUGUAUUGCUGUUUCUUUGCCCCUGUCUAGCUCUUUCUAUUUGUACAUUUUGUAAAGAGAAAAGGAAUUUAAAAAAUAAAACCAAAACAAUCUCUGGAGACAUUUCUGUGGUUUCCGCUAUAGGUAAGGGGCAAAUUCACCGUUUCUGGCCUGCAGCGUGUCUGGCCUCUUACCUGAGAGGGAGAUGGGGGAGCUAAGCAGAGGGAGACUGGCUUGGCUGCUUGAACAGUGAAGACUCCUGCGGGGCACUAGAUGGCAACAUUUCUCCAAAUCUAAACUUGGCAAGGCCCUGUGGACACAAGGUCAACAGUGCACAGAUGCUAAUCCCAACACAUUUUAUGAAACUCAAGCUUGUGUGGAGGAGAAGACUGAAGCUAGAUCUGGUGGACGAGAGGUCCUAACAGUCUCUCUCUCAGAGCUCGGCCCAUAGUUAAGAGGCUAGUGGUGCUAACUAUUUCUACCACUACCACCACCACCACUGCUACAACCAUUGCCAUCAUCACCACCACCACUAUCACCACCACCACUACCACAAUUGACUCACUCAUGUUGGUAUUGUUUUCAUUGGUGCUGAAAAUUAAACCCUCAUUCAGACUAAUUCUGGGAGGAGAGAUCUAGUUAGCGAUAUACAUCCUUUCAAUGUUUUUUCAAAUAUAUGCUACAACUAGAUUAACAAACUGCUGCCCAGUAUAGAAACUCAGGAGAAUUGCUUUAAUGAAUAGAUAAGAAUGGUUUGUAUCUGCAUAUCACUGCUUUUGGUAGAUAAGUAGUUGCUUCUUAUCUACUUAAGCAAUAUUUGAAAAUAGUAUUGUUCUAUGUGAACUGAAAAUCUACUCCGGAGUUGUGUUUGCAUUGUCAAUUGAUUUAGCAUGCGCUUUCUGCUUAGUAACCAGCCCCACUCCCAGGCCCUGCCCUUUUAAUUAGUCACCUGUCAUCAUAUUGAAGUGUUCCUCUUGAGGCACCAGUGACCCAUGGAGAGUCAAAACCUGGCACUUGACACAGAAACAAACAUUUGCUGAACUUAUGUAAUCGGGCUGGUCAGAUGAACUGUUUCUUGGUGAUCAUGAAUUGAACUUACAUGAAAGAACAGGAAUCAAGGUGGUCAAGAGGGUGGGAAUGUCAAGGGGAAGAGGGCCACCUAGCAGAGUUAUAGGACCCAAAUUUGACUGCUGGCCACUUGUGUAGAUGCCUUAAAGCCCCAGUGCUCCAUAGCUGCCACUUGACAGAGGUAGAUUUUUUUGCAUAGUUCCAUUCAUGUACUCAAUCAACAGAUAACAAUUAACUUCUGACAUGUGUCCAGCAUGCUUUCAGGCUCUAGGAAUACAGCACUGCACAAGGUACCUGCCCUUAUAAGGCUUACAUGCUGGUGGAGGAAAGAAACAGAAACAAAUAAACAAAUUAAUAAAUAUAAUUUAGGUUUGAUAAUACAAAAAGUAAAGCAGGAUUCAGACACAGUGACAAGUAAUGGUGUGUGUGUGUGUGUGUGUGUGUGUGUGUGUGUGUGUCCGUGUCCUUUGAUUAGUUAGAUUCAUUAGGGAAGGCUGCUUGGAAGAGAUGACAUUUGAACAGACAGACUCGAAUGAGAUGAGGGGGUGAGUCACGUAAGAGUCCCUCAGCUAAAACUAAACCACGUAUCACCAUUAUAGUGAACUGACCUAAGUCAACUUGGUCAUGAUGCACCACUCUUAAGUUCUUUUUAGUUGAAAAUCGUUGUUGAAAGAUUGAGAUAAAUAAUUUCUAUGGUUUGAAUGUAUGUAUGUGUGCCUCCAAAAUUUGUAAGUUAAAACUUACACUCCAAGGUGAUGGUAUUAAGAGGUGGGCCUUUGGGGAAGUGAUUAAGUCCUGAUGGCUCCACCCUUGUGAACUGAAUUAAUGCCCUUAUAAAAGAGGCUUCAGAGAGCUGCCUGACCCAUCCUCCAUCCCUUCCACCAUGUGAGCACGGAGGAAGAGGCACCAUCUUGGAAACAGAGAUCAGCCUUCUCCAGGUACUGAAUCUGCUGGUGCCUUAAUCUUGGACUUCCCAGCCACUUAGGUUCUCUGGAAGCAGAUACUGAGACAGAUACUAAGAUGGAGAAACCUCAUCUCUACUAAAAAUACAAAAUUAGCCGGGAGUGGUGGCGCAUGCCUGUAGUCCCAGCUACUCAGGAGGCUGAGGCAGGAGAAUCACUUGAACCCAGGAGGCGGAGGUUGCAGUGAGCCGAGAUCGUGCCAUUGGACUCCAGCCUGGACAACAAGAGCGAAAUUCUGUCUCAAAAACAAAAACAAAACAAAAAAACAUAUAUGGCCAGCUAGUUCUGCUUUUUAAAAAAAACUCAAAAUAAUUGAAUAUCACAAAGAGUACAGACCAUCUUUAAACUUCAUUUAUACUCUUUACACUUAUUUUCUCUUGCUAGUUUAUCAAAAGUACGACAUGAUUAGGAGUUUAUUUCCAUGUUGAUGGAGCUUUAUAAUCUACAAAUUGAAGGGAAUUAUUAAUGGUAAAUAACUGCUCUGAGUUUUUUUGUUUGUUUGUUUUUACUGGUCUGUUUGAAUUCUCUUCUGUUAGAAGAAUUUAAGUUCAAUAAAGUUUAAGGUAAGUUAAAAAAAAGAAAAAGGGAAGGAAUCUAGAUUGGGCAGAGGGAAAAGUUGAACCAUAAUGCACAUCCAACAAAGCCUCAACCAACCCAAUGUUGAGUUUUAGAGUGAAUACUGUAAUGAGAAAAACCUUCCCCCAAACUGGGAGGGAGUGGAGAGACCAAAAAAUGACUUAAACAAGUCCAGCCUGGCAAAUAAAUGAGUUUAUUAGGACUUACAUACGAGGAGCUCUUGGACAGCAGCAGGACAGCUUUAGAGAUCCACCCUGCCCCCCAUCCCUAAGCUGCUUUUAAGCUAAUUUUCUGGCUCUUUGCUCUGUGUGUGUGUGUGUGUGUGUGUGUGUGUGUGUGUGUGUGUGUGUGAUGGGAUUGCUUUCCCUGGUAGGUUUGCAGAUACUCUCUGGGAUGUUUGGUUUCUCAGGGAUACCUGCUCCUCAGCUGGGUACCAUGGGCUUGGCUCAUGGCCUGGCCUUCAGGGUUCAGGAAGCAGACACACAUCCCUCAGCAACCUGGCAGGGGACACAUCACACUACAAAUAUUAGCCAUCGGGGUUAUCUUGCACUGGGUCAAAUAGCUGCGUCUUUAUCCCUGACCUGGCUCAGGCAGCAGAUAAGGGCUGUGGGUGAGGAGGCUCUCUGCAUCUGAAGCAGACCCCGAAGGAGCAGGCAGCUGCGGCUGUCCCCUGAUGGUACUCCCCACAGCUGGGUAGCAAGUCCUUCCUUGAAGGAGGACUCUGGGCCACACAUUUAUGUAUCUACCACACCAUCAGAGGUGUUUGAAUCAGAGCAACUCCAUCUUGAAUAGGGACUGGGUAAAAUAAGGCUAAGACCUACUGGGCUGCAUUCCCAGAUGGUUAAGGCAUUCUAAGUCAUGGGAUGAGAUAGGAGGUCAGCACAAGAUACGGGUCAUAAAGACCUUGCUGAUAAAAAAGGUUGCAGUAAAGGAGCCAGUCAAAACUCCCCAAAACCAAGAUGGUGACAAGAGUGAUCUCUGGUCAUCCUCACUGCUACAGUCCCACCAGCACCAUGACAGUUUACAAAUGCCAUGGCAAUGUCAGGAAGUUACCCUAUAAGGUCUGAAAAUGGGAGACAUGAAUAGUCCACCCCUUGUUUUCAUAUAAUCAAGAAAUAACCAUAAAAAUGGGCAACUGGCAGCUCUUGGGGCUGCUCUGCCUAUGGAGUAGCCAUUCUUUUAUUCCUUUACUUUCUUAAUAAACUUCCUUUCACUUUACUGUAUGGAUUCACCUGAAAUUCUUUCUUGUGCGAGAUCCAAGAACCCUCUCUUGGGGUCUGGAUUGGGACCCCUUUCCAGUGCAGUGGAGAAUGUAACACGUCUAAAAUACGUUGGCCCAUCCAUACAUCUUGAAUACCUUUAAUUUCACAAAGGAGAGUCCACUUCUAAUAUUCAUUGUACUUAUUAACGAUGAACUAAUUUAAACAAUAAAAAUCCAUUUCUGACAUUCACUAUGCUAAUUAACAAAGCCUCAGGUAUUCAGGGAGACAUCGAUCAAAGAAGCACUUAAAGUGGCUGCCUCUGGAAUGUGUCCUUUCUGAUAAAAUACUAGCUCACUACCCUGGAGUAGAAUUUUCCAUUAGAGCAACUGACUGCCCUUAGAGUAAAAGCAGAAACGAACCAGCACACACAUAAUAUCCCUGUCUCUACCUCACUGGAGUAUUUAAAGUAAAUUGGAGACGUCUAAACGGCUCUCAUUUAGAUAUGCUUGUCUUUGGGGUCUUAGAUGCUUACUCUCUGAUCUUGUCCAAUCAUGCUGUCUUAUGGAUUAUUUGGUUGCAAGGGACAGAAACAUACCUGGACUAGUUGGAGUUCAAUGGGGGUUACUGUAUGGAUCCAAGGAUUUGACAGGCAACCUCUAGAUACCAAGGUUGACAAUGAAGGCUCAGAGUGGAACGAGGAUGUUGGGAUCCCAAACGUUCCCUGCCUCUCUCAUGAGGCCACAGUCUUCUCUUCUCUCUGCUUGUCUGUGUGUCUGCUUCUGUCUUCCUCUUCUCUCUGCCUUUUCCAUUUCCUCAUUGGCACACUUCUCCACUCCUGAGUCUAUAUAACCAUUGAGUUGGAGCACUCUUCAUCACUGAAACAUCACCAUCUCUCUUAGGUCAAUGUCUUGAAAGAGAAAAAAAACAAAGAGAAAGUGUGACAGGCACAGCCCUGCCCAUGGCCUGAGGUCUUUUGGGUUAGAGUGUUCAGUCAUCAGUGGACAGGGUGUGAUAAGAGCAGGGUGAAUGAGGCCGGGCAGGGUGAUACAUGCUUGUAAUCCCAGCGCUUUGGGAGGCUGAGGUGGGCGGAUCGCUUGAGGUCAGGAGUUUGAGACCAGCCUGGCUGACAUGGUGAAGCCAUCUCUACUAAAAAUACAAAAAUUAGCCGGGCGUGGUAGUGCAUGCCUGUAGUCCCAGCUACUCCUCAGGAGGCUGAGACAGGAGGAUUGCUUGAACCUGGGAGGCAGAGACUGCAGUGAGCUGAGAUCACGCCACUGCACUCCAGCCUGGGUGACAGAGUGAGACUCUGUCUCAAAAAAGAAAAAAAAAAAGAGCAGGGUAAAUGAGAGUCCUCCUUGGAGCUGUAGAAGGACAGAUUACCCCAGAAAAGGAUGAAGAUAGGGAGGCUGUAAUCACCAUCACGCAGCAGUCCUACUUACUGGGAGUACAGCAUCUUUCUAGAAAAUUCCUUGAUUUGCACAGGUACACACAUGUACACCAUGCAUAGUCAAACCAACCUAAGAAUUACUCCGAAGGCUAUAUAUUUAAAUUAUGAUUUUUAAACUUAUGAUAUUCAAAUGUACACAUAAGGUGGUUUCCUAGACUCAGCUCAUAAAGAAAUGUCUUCUUGUUAUCUCUCUCUGAGACUCCCUUUGCUACAAAUACCACCUUCUCGGUUGUAAUUCAAGGAGGUCGGAAUUGACUUUCCUGGUCAUGGCCACUUCCACCAAUCUGGGUACCACCCAAUAGCCAUGGCUAGAAUGGCACAGUCCAUCCCUCAUAGACAUUGUCAAAGGCUGUGAGUCAAGUAACUCAUGACCAAAUCUAGUCUACAGUGAAUUCUCCAAGGAAACUCCGUCCUCUAUCCCAACUGUAGCAACUGGACCACAGCAUAGGCUAUCAGCCCAGGGAUUUGAUUCAUGAAAGCAAAGCUGUCCUCCAGCCUGAGUACAUAGAAACCUCAUAUUGUUCUCAAUGUUUCCUGUCACGCUUGUUUGCAUCACUUACAAUUUCCCAGGGACACUGGUGUGUCAACUAAUCUUAUCAGCCAGGCAUCUGUAAGCAGGCAUGGCAAUAAAGCAAACAGAGCCCUGUGUCCAGUUUGUAGGAGCUGAUCCCUUCUGCCCAGGGCAGCGACAGGACUCUGUCCAGGCCUGGGGGAGGCUCUCUCCUGUCCCUGGAGUCCUUUCCCUCUGGCUUCCUAUCCCUUUAACAGGGGCAGAGCCUUUAUCCCCAGUCAGAGGAAAUGCAGAAACUGGAGAUGCCUCAGGCAGAUAGGAUUUUGCCUAAUGAAAAACCUCAGAAAUGCUUGAAGAGAAAAGUCUUGUUGCUCCUACUCAGACCCCACCCCCCACCUUGUUAGGGGUAGGAACAAGCAAGACCUGAGUGCCCUGGGCAAGUAUCCUUAGGCCAGUAGUACUGCCCCUGCCCCAUGGCUGGCCCCAUUGACAAAUAAGUCCCAGACAUUUUUGCCCUGUUCAUGGCCUCCACCCAAACCCAAACUCACCCCACUCUCCAUUUUCUCUCCUAUUUCCAGUUGGUGCUGAACCCCAGUUACCUGUUACUAAGAGCCUCACUCUUCUCCUUCAGCUCUGUAGGUCUCUCCAGCUCUCACUCUGCUGUUUCCCCUUAAUUCAGAUUUACAGUCUCCCUUUGGGUCCUGUACUUCUCUUCUUCCCCAAUCCUGACCUGCUCCUGGAACCCUAACUCUAAGAUGGGACUCUGUGGCUGGCAAACCCCCCCAGGUCUCCCACAGACCCUCAGAUCAGGAGCCUCUGAAACACAGAAAAGUAAAUUGGAAUGGAAUUCGUGCUACACCAUGGUGAAGAAGAGGAACU